GACGUAGGGCGCGAGCGUUGUCCGGAUUUAUUGGGCGUAAAGAGCUCGUAGGCGGCUUGUUGCGUCGGCUGUGAAAUCCCAUGGCUCAACUGUGGGCUUGCAGCCGAUACGGGCGGGCUAGAGUUCGGUAGGGGAGACUGGAAUUCCUGGUGUAGCGGUGAAAUGCGUAGAGAUGUGGAGGAACACCUGUGGCGAAGGCGCCUUGCUGGCCGAUUUCUGACGCUGAGGCGCGAAAGCGUGGGGAGCAAACAGG
rnacentral:rRNA from 1 species